CCACGGGGGGCUGCAGUGGGGAAUAUUGGACAAUGGGCGAAAGCCUGAUCCAGCCAUGCCGCGUGUGUGAAGAAGGCCUUCGGGUUGUAAAGCACUUUCAGUGGGGAAGAAAGCCUUGGGGCUAAUACCCUCGAGGAAGGACAUCACCCACAGAAGAAGCACCGGCUAACUCCGUGCCAGCAGCCGCGGUAAUACGGAGGGUGCGAGCGUUAAUCGGAAUUACUGGGCGUAAAGCGCGCGUAGGCGGUCUGAUAAGCCGGUUGUGAAAGCCCCGGGCUCAACCUGGGAACGGCAUCCGGAACUGUCAGGCUAGAGUGCAGGAGAGGAAGGUAGAAUUCCCGGUGUAGCGGUGAAAUGCGUAGAGAUCGGGAGGAAUACCAGUGGCGAAGGCGGCCUUCUGGACUGACACUGACGCUGAGGUGCGAAAGCGUGGGUAGCAAACAGGAUUAGAUACCCUAGUAGUC
rnacentral:rRNA from 1 species